UACGUAGGUGGCGAGCGUUAUCCGGAAUUACUGGGCGUAAAGCGCACGCAGGUGGCUUCUUAAGUCUGACGUGAAAGCUCCUGGCUUAACUGGGAGAGGUCGUUGGAGACUGGGGGGCUUGAGGCGAUGAGAGGGGUGUGGAAUUCCCGGUGUAGUGGUGGAAUGCGUAGAUAUCGGGAGGAACACCAGUGGCGAAAGCGGCACCCUGGCAUCGGCCUGACGCUCAUGUGCGAAGGCGUGGGGAGCGAACGGGAUUAGAUACCCCGGUAGUCCACGCGGUAAACGAUGAACACUAGGUGUAGGUGGUGUGAAAACUAUCUGUGCCGAAGCCAACGCGUUAAGUGUUCCGCCUGGGGAGUACGGCCGCAAGGCUAAA
rnacentral:rRNA from 1 species